UUCAACAAAAUCGCUGUCGCCUAUGAAU
rnacentral:sRNA from 1 species